rnacentral:rRNA from 1 species
UACGUAGGGUGCAAGCGUUGUCCGGAAUUAUUGGGCGUAAAGAGCUCGUAGGCGGUCUGUCGCGUCGGCUGUGAAAACUCGGGGCUCAACCCCGAGCCUGCAGUCGAUACGGGCAGACUAGAGUGCUGUAGGGGAGACUGGAAUUCCUGGUGUAGCGGUGAAAUGCGCAGAUAUCAGGAGGAACACCGGUGGCGAAGGCGGGUCUCUGGGCCGAUACUGACACUGAGGAGCGAAAGCGUGGGGAGCGAACAGG